rnacentral:piRNA from 1 species
UCCCAGCCUGUGCUGCGUCAUUGCUGCU